AGAGUUUGAUCAUGGCUCAGAAUAAACGCUGGCGGCGUGCCUAACACAUGCAAGUCGAACGAGAAAGCCAUGACUUCGGUUGGGCGAGUAAAGUGGCGCACGGGUGAGUAACGCGUAGGCAACCUACCCUUGAAUUUGGGAUAACAGUGCGAAAGUGCUGCUAAUACCGGAUACGACCCUUUUGUGCUGGGCAAAAGGGUGAAAGUCGGCCACUGGAACAAGCCGACGUUCGGGGAUGGGCCUGCGUCCUAUCAGCUGGUUGGUAGGGUAACGGCCUACCAAGGCGACGACGGGUAGCUGGUCUGAGAGGAUGAUCAGCCACACUGGCACUGGAACACGGGCCAGACUCCUACGGGAGGCAGCAGUGAGGAAUUUUGCGCAAUGGCCGCAAGGCUGACGCAGCAACGCCGCGUGGGUGAAGAAGGCCUUCGGGUCGUAAAGCCCUGUCAGGUGGGAAGAACGACACGGGGAGGAAUAUGCUCUGUGAGUGACGGUACCACCAGAGGAAGCACCGGCUAACUCCGUGCCAGCAGCCGCGGUAAUACGGAGGGUGCGAGCGUUAUUCGGAAUUACUGGGCGUAAAGCGCGUGUAGGCGGCCAACCAAGUCUGAUGUGAAAGCCCUGGGCUUAACCUGGGAAGUGCAUUGGAAACUGGCUGGCUUGAGUACUGGAGAGGAAGGGGGAAUUCCCGGUGUAGAGGUGAAAUUCGUAGAGAUCGGGAGGAAUACCAGUGGCGAAGGCGCCCUUCUGGACGGUUACUGACGCUGAGACGCGAAAGCGUGGGGAGCAAACAGGAUUAGAUACCCUGGUAGU
rnacentral:rRNA from 1 species